GACGAACGCUGGCGGCGUGCUUAACACAUGCAAGUCGAACGGAAAGGCCCUGCUUUUGUGGGGUGCUCGAGUGGCGAACGGGUGAGUAACACGUGAGUAACCUGCCCUUGACUUUGGGAUAACUUCAGGAAACUGGGGCUAAUACCGGAUAGGAGCUCCUGCUGCAUGGUGGGGGUUGGAAGGUUUCGGCGGUGGGGGAUUGACUCGCUGCGUAUCAGCUUGUUGGUGGGGUAGUGGCUUACCAAGGCUUUGACGGGUAGCCGGCCUGAGAGUGUGACCGGCCACAUGGGGACUGAGAUACGGCCCGGACUCCUACGGGAGGCAGCAGUGGGGUAUAUUGCAUAAUGGGCGGAAGCCUGAUGCAGCAACGCCGCGUGCUGGAUGAUGGCCUUCGGGUUGUAAACCGCUUUCGCCUGUGACGAAGCGUGAGUGACGGUAAUGUGUAAAGAAGCACCGGCUAACUACGUG
rnacentral:rRNA from 1 species